UUGAUGUUCUCUCUGAACCUCAAAAGGAACCAGAGACACUUCUAUUUUUGAUUUGUUUAUUUUCAACAUCACAAAAUAAUAAGCAUAAUCUGAAUAGAAAUGCUCUCCUUUUCCUUUUCCCUCUUCUACUUCACUUCCUCAGAGAUUGAGCCUGUUGUGAACCAUUAGUAAGUUCUGAGUGAUAAUU